rnacentral:rRNA from 1 species
GACGAACCGUGCGAACGUUGUUCGGAAUCACUGGGCUUAAAGGGCGCGUAGGCGGGCUGUCAAGUCUGGGGUGAAAUGCCGCGGCUCAACCGUGGAACUGCCGUUAGAUACUGACGGCCUCGAGGGAGGUAGGGGCGUGCGGAACUGUAGGUGGAGCGGUGAAAUGCGUUGAUAUCUACAGGAACUCCGGUGGCGAAAGCGGCGCGCUGGACCUCUUCUGACGCUGAGGCGCGAAAGCUAGGGGAGCAAACGGG